rnacentral:rRNA from 1 species
UACGGAGGGUGCAAGCGUUGUCCGGAAUCACUGGGCGUAAAGGGCGCGUAGGCGGCUCAUGAAGGCUGUGGUGAAAGUCCGGGGCUCAACCUCGGAUCGGCCGUGGCGACUCGCGGGCUCGAGCGUUGUAGAGGCGGGUGGAAUUCCGGGUGUAGCGGUGGAAUGCGUAGAGAUCCGGAAGAACACCGGUGGCGAAGGCGGCCCGCUGGGCAACUGCUGACACUGAGGCGCGACAGCGUGGGGAGCAAACAGG